rnacentral:rRNA from 1 species
UACGUAGGGUGAGAGCGUUAAUAGGAAUUACUGGGCGUAAAGCGUGCGCCGGCGGCUCUUCAAGUCAGAUGUGAAAGCCCCGGGCUUAACCUGGGAAUGGCGUUUGAAACUGGAGGGCUGGAGUGUGGCAGAGGGAGGUGGAAUUCCACGUGUAGCAGUGAAAUGCGUAGAGAUGUGGAGGAACACCGAUGGCGAAGGCAGCCUCCUGGGCCAACACUGACGCUCAUGCACGAAAGCGUGGAGAGCAAACAGG